rnacentral:rRNA from 1 species
CCUACGGGCGGCAGCAGUGGGGAAUAUUGCACAAUGGGGGAAACCCUGAUGCAGCAACGCCGCGUGAAGGAAGACGGUUUUCGGAUUGUAAACUUCUGUUCUUAGUGAAGAAUAAUGACGGUAGCUAAGGAGCAAGCCACGGCUAACUACGUGCCAGCAGCCGCGGUAAUACGUAGGUGGCAAGCGUUGUCCGGAAUUACUGGGUGUAAAGGGAGCGCAGGCGGGAAGCCAAGUCAGCUGUGAAAACUACGGGCUUAACUUGUAGACUGCAGUUGAAACUGGUUUUCUUGAGUGAAGUAGAGGCAAGCGGAAUUCCUAGUGUAGCGGUGAAAUGCGUAGAUAUUAGGAGGAACACCAGUGGCGAAGGCGGCUUGCUGGGCUUUUACUGACGCUGAGGCUCGAAAGCGUGGGGAGCAAACAGGAUUAGAUACCCGUGUAGUC